CACGUACUGUGCGAACGUUAUUCGGAAUCACUGGGCUUAAAGGGUGCGUAGGCGGCGAUUCAAGUCAGAUGUGAAAUGCCUGAGCUCAACUGAGGCAUUGCGUUUGAAACUGAAUUGCUAGAGUGUCCUAGGGGUGUGCGGAACUGCCAGUGGAACGGUGAAAUGUGUUGAUAUUGGCAGGAACACCGGAGGCGAAGGCGGCACACUGGGGGAUAACUGACGCUGAGGCACGAAAGCCAAGGGAGCGAACGGG
rnacentral:rRNA from 1 species